ACGGAGAAGGCUAUGUUGGCCGGGCGACGGUUGUCCCGGUUUAAGCGUGUAGGUGUGUGUUCCAGGUAAAUCCGGUUCACUUUAACACUGAGGCGUGACGACGAGGCACUACGGUGCUGAAGCAACAAAUGCCCUGCUUCCAGGAAAAGCCUCUAAGCAUCAGGUAACAUCAAAUCGUACCCCAAACCGACACAGGUGGUCAGGUAGAGAAUACCAAGGCGCUUGAGAGAACUCGGGUGAAGGAACUAGGCAAAAUGGUGCCGUAACUUCGGGAGAAGGCACGCUGACACGUAGGUGAAGUGAUUUACUCAUGGAGCUGAAGUCAGUCGAAGAUACCAGCUGGCUGCAACUGUUUAUUAAAAACACAGCACUGUGCAAACACGAAAGUGGACGUAUACGGUGUGACGCCUGCCCGGUGCCGGAAGGUUAAUUGAUGGGGUCAGCGCAAGCGAAGCUCCUGAUCGAAGCCCCGGUAAACGGCGGCCGUAACUAUAACGGUCCUAAGGUAGCGAAAUUCCUUGUCGGGUAAGUUCCGACCUGCACGAAUGGCGUAAUGAUGGCCAGGCUGUCUCCACCCGAGACUCAGUGAAAUUGAACUCGCUGUGAAGAUGCAGUGUACCCGCGGCAAGACGGAAAGACCCCGUGAACCUUUACUAUAGCUUGACACUGAACAUUGAGCCUUGAUGUGUAGGAUAGGUGGGAGGCUUUGAAGUGUGGACGCCAGUCUGCAUGGAGCCGACCUUGAAAUACCACCCUUUAAUGUUUGAUGUUCUAACGUGGACCCGUUACCCGGGUUGCGGACAGUGUCUGGUGGGUAGUUUGACUGGGGCGGUCUCCUCCUAAAGAGUAACGGAGGAGCACGAAGGUUGGCUAAUCCUGGUCGGACAUCAGGAGGUUAGUGCAAUGGCAUAAGCCAGCUUGACUGCGAGCGUGACGGCGCGAGCAGGUGCGAAAGCAGGUCAUAGUGAUCCGGUGGUUCUGAAUGGAAGGGCCAUCGCUCAACGGAUAAAAGGUACUCCGGGGAUAACAGGCUGAUACCGCCCAAGAGUUCAUAUCGACGGCGGUGUUUGGCACCUCGAUGUCGGCUCAUCACAUCCUGGGGCUGAAGUAGGUCCCAAGGGUAUGGCUGUUCGCCAUUUAAAGUGGUACGCGAGCUGGGUUUAGAACGUCGUGAGACAGUUCGGUCCCUAUCUGCCGUGGGCGCUGGAGAACUGAGGGGGGCUGCUCCUAGUACGAGAGGACCGGAGUGGACGCAUCACUGGUGUUCGGGUUGUCAUGCCAAUGGCACUGCCCGGUAGCUAAAUGCGGAAGAGAUAAGUGCUGAAAGCAUCUAAGCACGAAACUUGCCCCGAGAUGAGUUCUCCCUGAGACUUUAGGUCUCCUGAAGGAACGUUGAAGACGACGACGUUGAUAGGCCGGGUGUGUAAGCGCAGCGAUGCGUUGAGCUAACCGGUACUAAUGAACCGUGAGGCUUAACCUUACAACGCCGAAGAUGUUUUGGCGGAUGAGAGACGAUUUUCAGCACUGAUUCNNNNNNNNNNNNNNNNNNNNGCGGAUGAGAGACGAUUUUCAGCACUGAUUCAGAUUACAUCAGAACGUAAAAACGGUCUGAUAACAGAAUUUGCCUGGCGGCAGUAGCGCGGUGGUCCCACCUGA
rnacentral:rRNA from 1 species